ACUACCCGCUGCGGCGCUGGGAGCGGUGGCGGGAGCCUCGCUAUGCGGGUUCCUGUGGCGGGAACUACGGGAUUACCUCGAGGAAGAGUUGGGGAACCCGAAAACGGCUCAAGGUAACAAACGGAUAUGGUCUCAUCAACAGGAAUGCCACCAAGGAAGAUGGAUUUGUAGAGCAGACGGCCCCAAAGAACAGCCCCAGGGAAGCACCUUCGCAGGGCAGGACUUGAAGUUGCGGGCGCAGCGGGGGCGGGGCAGCCAAUGCUGCAGGUGCAGUUCCAGGGCAAGGCAGGAAACGUGCAGCCGACCGGAAGCGUCACAGACGCCGGCCACCUUGCGGGGGGUACGGGCGCCAUUACCUGCACCAGUUACCGGCAGAAAGAUGAGAGGAGCGAGAGUGGGAAAGUGAGGGACUGGAGGGGGCUAACGCAGGCCAGACCCGACAGCGCGGCCCUACCCCCCGAGCGCCAGCCCAGCGCUCCGGCCCUCCAGUGCGGGCAGAAGUGAUGCGUGGUGCGGACAGCAGGGCGCAGCCGAGCCAGAUGGAAUCGGCCCCGAGGCCCUAGACCACGGUUCUGCAGGGGCCCUGCUGACCGAAGAGCCUAGGGACAAAGGCAGUGAACGCGACAAGCAAUGUCAAGGCGACGAGACCAAGGAGAGGAGAUAGCACGGACUUGAACAGCCACCUCGUCAUCAGUGCCAACACCUCUUCACUUACCGCACCCGAGGCCCAGAACACCCCAAACCGCAAGAAGGCAAAAAGACAAAAGCAGCCUCCACCGGAGAAAAUUCCUCGGCUCCAGAUGCUAAGCAAGGACUUUCACAACUGGAUCUUCCAACUUUCACAUCAGACAAGCCAGUCAAACACCAGACCAUGAAUAAUUUCUUUAUGAUUUUUGAAGUUGCCCCCAAGAUGCCCUCUGCUGAGACCCCUGCUGUCCUCAUCGUUCAUCACUGCCCAUUCCCUGUACUUCGGCUAUCCUGAGCACCCCCUUCUGUUCCCUGCUUCGGUGCCCACACAUUCUUCCUGCCUGAACUAUGCUUCUCCUAUACAUUCUCCAGGUGAUCACCUUUUCAACUCUUAAAGUGCAUCCUCUUCUAUAAAGUCUUUCCCAAAUGCAUCCCUCCACGUUCUUCUCUAAGUAGACUUACAUAUUUCAUCACAAUUUCCUUUGCAAGUGUGUAUGAGGGUGUGCGUGUGCACAUAGUAUUUUAUCGUUGUCUUUAUGGGGCAGUUUCGCCAGAUUUUAUUACCAGAUUUUCACCUCUUUAAAGGCAGGAACCAUUAUUCAUCUAAUUUUUUUAUGUGGACUUGCCAGCUUAGUGACUGACAUAUACUGAUAUUCCAUGAAUGUUUACUAAAAAAUGUGUAAGUGAAUAUUAUUAUAUUGUCUAACAUCCUCGUUUUUAAAAGAAAUGCAUAGGAAAUAAUUUUAAACAUAUGAUAUUUCCAGUUUGGUAGGUUUAAAUGAGUAUUAUUUCAUUACGGUUUGUUACUUAAUAUCUCCAUAGUGGGGGCACAGACUCAUGAGCAGCAGUAUGUUAUAGGAUCU